UUUGGAACCACGUGGGCUCCAAGGUGGCUGGUGCCCAUUGGGUUUGGUAGGGUAGAAGGAAGGGAGACCAACAGUAGGGGGAGCUAGCGGCAAUUAAUUCUAGUUUCAUCCGUCGCCUCCUCAGUUAUACAAGGGCAACAAUGAGACUAAGGACUAUGGUCUUUUCAUCACCAGGCAACGACCUUUUAAUUCAUCCGGGUUUCCUAAUUAAAUUUCAACUCCAGGCUGUUUAUGCAGUCUGUGCUUAAAAAAACUUUUAAAAAACCAAAAACUAUGUUGUUGUUUAUUUUAACAAUGAUACUUUGCAAUUUUAGUUUUUCAUAUAAAUCACCCAGGGAAUAUUUAUUGAUGGGCAGAUUUAUAAAUUUAAUAUUGGCUGGUGCUAAAACCACACCUCAAUCUUUACUUUUUUUGUUUUUAAAUUUCCAGUGGUGAAGAAGAGCAGACGCUUACUCUGUGGGUUCCUCCUCUCUAAAUAUUGAUUGAAUGAUUGAUCGGAUUGAUUACAUUCCCAUCCCGCCUUUCCUCCCAAAGACGCUGACACUGUGGGUUCAAAAAUAGAGCCAAACAUGCACCGGUGUGAGGAGUAAGGCGUAAAUCCAUGUCAGGAAUUUCCCCUCCUCUUUGGCCGUGUCCUGGCUGAAAGCUGUGCACCUAAGACUGUAACUAAAGGAAGCAUUAUGACCUCAGAAAAAUCCCAAGGAGAAGUUCAACAAGCCACUAUUUUGGCAACUGGCUCCAAAGGCAAGGAUGGAGGCCCUUGUCCCCUUAGCGUAAAAGUUGUCCUACCUGAGUACGUUGGAACAAAAGCUGUACAUGACGAC